UACGUAGGGCGCAAGCGUUGUCCGGAAUUAUUGGGCGUAAAGAGCUCGUAGGUGGCGUGUCGCGUCUGCCGUGAAAGCCCAUGGCUUAACUGUGGGUCUGCGGUGGGAUACGGGCAGGCUGGAGGCUGGUAGGGGCAAGCGGAAUUCCUGGUGUAGCGGUGAAAUGCGCAGAUAUCAGGAGGAACACCGGUGGCGAAGGCGGCUUGCUGGGCCAGUUCUGACGCUGAGGAGCGAAAGCGUGGGGGAGCGAACAGG
rnacentral:rRNA from 1 species